GGGUCUGUAGCUCAGCUGGUCAGAGCUCCGAGCUUAUACCUCGGUGGUCCUUGGUUCGAAUCCAAGCAGACCCACCA
rnacentral:tRNA from 1 species